rnacentral:rRNA from 1 species
UACGAAGGGGACUAGCGUUGUUCGGAAUUACUGGGCGUAAAGCGCACGUAGGCGGACUUUCAAGUCGGGGGUGAAAUCCCGGGGCUCAACCUCGGAACUGCCUUUGAUACUGUUGGUCUCGAGUCCGGAAGAGGUGGGUGGAAUUCCUAGUGUAGAGGUGAAAUUCGUAGAUAUUAGGAAGAACACCGGUGGCGAAGGCGGCUCACUGGCUCGGUACUGACGCUGAGGCGCGAAAGCGUGGGGAGCAAACAGG